AUGGAACGGAACCUUAUUUGCCUUCGCCUCAGUAGCCGCUUUUGCUUAUGGUCAAAGGGGUAUGCCGCUAUGCUACACCGAAGUAUGCUCCUAGAAGCUAAGCUGCAGGAUCAAUGGCUUAAACUACUGCUUCUUCAACGCUUCUCCUGCGACUUGUUCUCCUUUCGUCCUUGCUCCUGCACGCACCUAAAGGUACAGUAUCUAAACGCUCCUUCUGUUCUUGGGAAAGGGGGCCCAAGGCUCAUCCUUAUGCUUUCGGUUUUCGAGUGA
rnacentral:lncRNA from 1 species